CACUGUUAAAAAAUUUGCCGUAGAUUCAAUGGAGAAUGUCCGGCAGCAAGUGACAGCACUUUUCAAAAUUAACGGUUUCCAUAGUUUCUAUUUUCCACAAAAAUCAACGGAAAAAGUGCAUAAAAAAAGAUACAGAACUUUCUCUGUAAAAUUUACGGUUUCCCUAUUUCAUUUUUUCCGUACAAAUUAACAGAGAAUGUCAGGCAGCAAAGGGACAGCAGUUUCUCCAUAAAAUUUACGGUUUCCGUAUUUCAUUUAUUCCAUUUAAAUUAAUGGAAAAACUCCGUUAAUUCAGCAAAUAGACAGUUACUUGACUCAUUUUACAGAGUUUACGCAAAAAUCGAAAAUAAAUGAAUAGAAUUUAAGAAACUACUCGUAUUUUAAAUGGUUAAAAAUUAUAAUAUAAUACACACCAAGUAAUAAUUAGUUAUAAUAAAUAUAGUAGUUAUUAUUAUAUUAUAUAAUAUUUAUGAUAACAAAUAAUAUUUUAUUAUGACAAAUUAUACUAUAUUAUAAAAGGUAUUAUAUAUAUUAUAUUAUCAUAGUUAUAAUAAACAUAAACAAGCGUCUUUUGAUCUAUUGAUGCUCUGUCCACUCAAACAGCGUUAGUUUGUUUACAAAACUCAAAACUUUUGGGUGAGGUCCAACAUACUGCUUUUUACCAAUUUUUUUUUUGAUUUAAUUUCCUUUUUCAGGAUUUAUUUUUGUGAUACAUUUAAAUAAUAAUUAGAUCAGAUUAAAAAAUUAUUAUUUACAGUAAAAAAAAAAAAAAGAAAAGAAAGUAAUGUUGAAAAAUUGUAUGUAGAGCGAGCAUGUCGAGCAUGCAGUUGCAGAUAAUCAGGAUGUAGUGAUAGAAGAAAGCUUAGGUUAGAAUUAGAUAAAAAAUACAUUGCAGGUAAUAUGAAAAAGCUAUGGAUUUUUAUAGAUUUUUUAUAAACAAGUAUGAAAGUAUAUCAUCACAAAAACUGAGAAAAACUUUCAAUAGUAGUAUUUCAUUUUAAGAGUUACAAUCAAAAUUAAUCAAUAUAUAUAAAUACAAAUAAAUAAAUAAUAAUUUAAUGAUUAUUAAUAUCAAAUUUAAUGCUUCUACAGAUAACUUUGUCAAAAACCACAAUUUUAAAUGAUUUAAAUAUAUAUCAGAUAACAAGAAUAAUGAUUAAGAGAGCUUUUUUAAACUGCACUGCAAAAAAGUAAAUAUAAAAAUACAUCUAAUAUACCAUUUUAUUUAAUAUAUACCUUCUUUUUAUGCGUUUAUCCUCCAUGUGGUGUAUCCUCCUCCGAAUAAUUGCUAUAUAGAGGAUAUAUACCAAGGCCCAGGAAGAUGAGUUUAGCUCACUAAUCAUCAUAACCCGUUUGCAGACUAAGGAGUGCAACAACACGAAUGUCAACGAAGCUCAAACUUAGAGUCGCUAUCUUACUUGACUGCUGCAAAAUGCUCUAAACGGAUAUCUGCUAAAAAGUUUGUUUCAAAAUAGUUUGAUUAGGGGCUGGAGAUGGGAUAAGUUGCAUUUUCGCUCUUUAUAUUUUUAAAUACUAGACGACUUUUUUUAUUAUCCACUGUUAAAAUAAACUUAACUUCGUUUUUAAAUAAAACUUGAACCUUACACUAGCAAGGGACACGGCAAUAGACACAGCAACAGAAAUUGCGGGAAAACCACGGUUAUUGCGGUAUUUUUCACUAAGACGGACAACGUAACGGUACCAGUCAUACCUCAGUAGUGAUAACAGAUUUUUUAGUGGUUUCUGCGGCAAUUGUAAUUUAUAUUUAGGCUUUGUAAUUUAUAUUUAAAAUCUCUAUAUAUUAUAAAGCAUUUGCAGUCAUGAAAAAUAUUUCUAUUCAUUUAAAAGUUUAGGUAUAUAUUACUAAUUAUUUAAGCUGGGAAUGGAUGGGGAGAAAUAAUUUUGUGAAUGCUUUAUGGCUAGAGAAAAAUCUAAUAGGCAUGGUGAUGUGAUAAAAAAAUGUAUAUAUGGGUAUGGAUGGAUUUCAUUUUUUUCCUCCGUGUUAUUUUCUACUUUCGAACUAAACUCAUGUAUGUUGGCAACAUUUUAUAAUGUAUUAUAAUGUAUUUUAUAAUGAAGUGCAUAUUUUAUUAAUAAUUUUGAUAAUAAAUUUAAA